UCUAGUUAGAAACUCAUCGGACACUGUGAAUAGAUACAGAGUCCCUCGCCAAGUAUGCGGCCCGGGGUGCCGAUCACCACGCGAUCUUCUGCAGUUAAUAAACCGCUGACUCCGGCCUGACAAUAACCGAACUGUUCGUUGGGUCUGAAAAAAAUCGAGAAAGUUUCCCGGAACACGGUUUUUUCAAAUCGUCGUAUUUCAAAUCUUGGGAUAAUAUGUAGCAUUGACCCUGACCCCAUUGCGAGUCGGCUGUUCACGAUAUGACGAUGCGCGCAUACCGGAAGUAUGAUGUGACGAAUUAUAAAUAAUCUGUACAUGUAUAUGUAUCAUCUCUCUGAGAGGCAAUAUUCUUGUGUCUGUUGACUCACCAUAACUUUACCUCCCACUCCCUGACUGCGUACUAGUCACUCCUAACCAUUGAUUAUCUUUUAUCUCAUCAUUUCCUGGUGGUAUUAAAUCAUCGGAUUCCAAAUCUGGAAAAAAUACAGUUUUGACAGGGCUGGAGUUUGAGAGAUGAGUUCAAAUGCACCUGUUUUCAAGAGAAUUAAAUUACGAAUUUUAUAUCAACCAUUCAUUAUAACUUGCAGCAUUAUUUAUAACAUAUGUGACAAAUAAAAGUCUAUUAUUAUGA